rnacentral:rRNA from 1 species
UACGUAGGGGGCAAGCGUUGUCCGGAAUUAUUGGGCGUAAAGAGCUCGUAGGCGGUCUGUCACGUCGGCUGUGAAAACCCGAGGCUCAACCUCGGGCCUGCAGUCGAUACGGGCAAACUAGAGUGUUGCAGGGGAGACUGGAAUUCCUGGUGUAGCGGUGAAAUGCGCAGAUAUCAGGAGGAACACCGGUGGCGAAGGCGGGUCUCUGGGCAACAACUGACGCUGAGGAGCGAAAGCGUGGGGAGCGAACAGG